UGCCCGCACACGCGCAGUGGGAGGGCCAGCUUCGACCAAAGGAAGCUGGGCUCCUGGAGGUGGGGGGCAGAGGAGGCGGGAUGGGAGAGGGAAGGAAGGGGUGAAAGGCACGCCUACCUUCCUCUCCUCAGGUUCCCCAGGGCCCAGAGGUCCGGUCACUUCUCUCGCCGCUACCCCCGCCACCCCUAACACCGGUGUGGCGGCCCUAGUUGCCGGUGACACGUGGGCACGCCAGGCACCUCUGUGGUCCCCCAUUUGGACCCGGGUGGCUGGGAACGAAAUCAGAUGCGGGGGAGGGAAGACAUCGGUGAGGCAGGGGCGAGGAGGAGCCCCGAGUCCUGCUUGGAGCCGUGGCUGUGGCAACUGAAACCUGUGGACCCUGAGAUUGCUGCCUCCCCUAGUCAUGGGCAGAGGAGGCCUGCUCCCUGGCGACGCACCCCAGGGGCCCCUGCCUCUCUCUAUUCCUUCCAGCCGUCUGUUGAAUGCCCCCACCCCACUAGUCCCCCUCCACCUAUUGCCUCCAAUCAACCACCCUCUUUAAGGUACCUGGGCAAUGCCCUCGCGGACAAGGCUGUGGUUGGAGAGCGCUUCUUUCUCAUUAGCCUACCUGUUGCCUGGCACCUUCCUCCUCAGACAGGGGGUUGACACUUCUCAGAAGACUUCCAGGACCAGAGGCUCUUUCCUUACUAGUCGUCUCGCUUACAAUGUCUCGGUCCAGGUGGCAGGGACAGCUAGCCUCCCUUUGACAAAGCACACAAGCCAUAUGGUAUUCCUUUCCUCCGCCCAGACAUCUGUCUCCUCAUAGUCAGGGCCGUGGAAUACCUUCCUUUGAUGUGGGUAGAGCAGGCUCUUUCUAGCUGCACAUUUUAGGGGAUUCUGUCCCUUUCUGGAAACAUUGAUACUUUCUCCUCUUGUCCACGGGCCUGUCCAAGUUGAGCCUGGACACGGAGGGCCCUACCUGAAUUGUGGGCACCAGUUUGGCAGGCACUUUCCUUUUUUUUCCUGGGUGUAUUCUAUGUCAAAGGAGCUCGUGUAGCCAGGGCUCUUUUUCUAUUACUGGCCAUUUUUAGAGUCUAUCUCCAGGUAACUGUAACCCUGAGUGCCUUUUUAGAAAAGACCCGGAAAAGAGAAAGGACAGAUGUUGCUAAUAUUCCUGUUAUUUGCAUGUGUUUACAUCAUGAGUUGCCUAUGUUCUGACUUUCUCUUAAAUGGUUCUUAGCAACCUCUGUAGUCUCCUAAGGCUUUUCUGUCUCAGCUUUUCAGAAUUUCUCCAUGAGAAAUGUCCUUGGCAUCAGGAAGAAUGGCUGCCACCUACAUAAAGGGCACAUUCCAGGGUGCUGGAAUUUAAGGAAGGCAGUUCCGCAUGCUGUUUUGUUUUCUCUGGCUUUCUUGUUUUUCUCCCUGACCUGUGCUUUCCUUCUCCAUGCACAUGCUGCCUGAUAGAGUUGAUAUGUCUUACAUUUCACUGGUUUGUGGGGUGGGUGGCAGUGAAGAAGGAUUGGUGAAGCCAGACCCUUCCCACUGCCUCUUUCCCUCCUACCUACUGUUUACCUGUUCAUUCAGCAAGUCUUGACAUGUCUGUGUUUAGUGGAGUUUCUUUACAGGAAAUAUUAAAAUCUUUAUUUUUAUAUAUGAUCUUUUACAGAAGAAUUAGGUUCAGAAUUAGAUUCCAUAUAUAUACUUGAUCUUGAAAGAUGUAUUUUCAAAACAGGCAAAGUAGAAGCUAUUUAUUCUAGUCAUUUAGUGGGGAGAACUUACAUGAAGAGAAUAUCAGAGUUGAGGGGCCAUUCUGGUGGCACAGCAGUUAAGUGCGCACCUUCUGCUUCGGCGGCCUGCGGUUCACCGCUUGGGAUCCCGGGUGCGGACAUGGCACUGCUUGGUAAGCCAUGCUGUGGGAGGCGUCCCACAGAUAAAAUAGAGGAAGAUGGGCAUGGAUUUAUUGAACCUAAGGGUGAUGUUAGGACUCCCAAACUUGCAAUUGUUGGUAGAAGUUAAAGUGGUCUUGUGGCCCAUUCCCUAAAUUCACAGUUGGCUAACAUCGCAGUUGGCAUCAGAAAUGGGAUUCGUUAGAAGCACCCUGACUUACUAAAACAUGUGGUUUGAGAAGAGGAAAGAGAAGGAGGUUGACUUAUGAUGACGUAUUUUAAGUGGAGAUUCCAGGAGGAUCCACGUCACGGAGUUGUGAGGGGUGACUGAGAGAAGUCGUGGAGAGCGUGAAGCACAGGAACGGGCCCACAGGAAGUGCCCAAGAAAUGGAAGCUUUAUACCGUCAUUGUCAACGAGAAAAGCAAAAAGCCCACUUUUCCUGCAAAAAGAAAUCGUAUAUUUAUACAAAUCCUAUUGUUAUACUUAUUAUUUAUGGUCAAUUCUAAAGACAUAAAACAUUACCGUAUUGGUGUCAAACGUGAAUUUUAUUUCUAUGUCUUUAUUAAAAUACAAACAAAAAUAAAUGCAUUUGUCAGCUGAGAAAGGGGGAUGUUUGAUAGUCAGUGGGCUGCACAAGGCCCUUGUUUUAUUUUACAUUACCAUGGCCGUCUCAGAGUAACCUCAGCUGAUGUGAUAUUUUGUGAGAUUGUUUAUGUCCAACAGGAGAGCAUGGCCCAGCAGUGAACACAAGACCUGUUUCCAAAUAUUAGGGGAUUUUCUUUCUCAGGCCUCAUC
rnacentral:lncRNA from 1 species